rnacentral:rRNA from 1 species
UACGUAGGCGGCUUGCCAAGUUGGGUGUGAAAGCCCGGGGCUCAACCCCGGAACUGCAUUCAAAACUGGUUGGCUAGAGAUCGGAAGAGGUAAGUGGAAUUCCCAGUGUAGAGGUGAAAUUCGUAGAUAUUGGGAAGAACACCGGUGGCGAAGGCGACUUACUGGUCCGAUACUGACGCUGAGGUACGAAAGCGUGGGAGCAAACA